rnacentral:rRNA from 1 species
CCUUCUGGAACUCUGAGACAGGUGCUGCAUGGAUGUCGUCAGCUCGUGUUGUGAAAUGUUGGGUUAAGUCCCGCAACGAGCGCACCCUUAUCCUUUGUUGCAAGCGAUUCGGUCGGGAACUCAAAGGAGACUGCCAGUGAUAAACUGGAGGAAGGUGGGGAUGACGUCAAGUCAUCAUGGCCCUUACGAGUAGGGCUACACACGUGCUACAAUGGCAUAUACAAAGAGAAGCGACCUCGCGAGAGGGCGCGGACCUCAUAAAGUAUGUCGUAGUCCGGAUUGGAGUCUGCAACUCGACUCCAUGAAGUCGGAAUCGCUAGUAAUCGUAGAUCAGAAUGCUACGGUGAAUACGUUCCCGGGCCUUGUACACACCGCCCGUCACACCAUGGGAGUGGGUUGCAAAAGAA